GCACAUGUAGCGGAGUAGUAACGUUCGCGACUUUGGUUCGUUAGGUCGUGGGUUCAAGGCCCGUCACAGUCA